rnacentral:rRNA from 1 species
UACGUAGGGGGCUAGCGUUGUCCGGAAUCAUUGGGCGUAAAGCGCGUGUAGGCGGUCCGGUAAGUCCGCUGUGAAAGUCGGGGGCUCAACCCUCGAAUGCCGGUGGAUACUGUCGGGCUAGAGUGCGGAAGAGGCGAGUGGAAUUCCUGGUGUAGCGGUGAAAUGCGCAGAUAUCAGGAGGAACACCAAUGGCGAAGGCAGCUCGCUGGGACGCGACUGACGCUGAGACGCGAAAGCGUGGGGAGCAAACAGG